rnacentral:rRNA from 1 species
GACGAACGCUGGCGGCGUGCUUAACACAUGCAUGUCGAACGGAUAGGCCCUGGUGUUGUUGGUCUCUCGAGUGGGGCACGCGUGAGUGACACGUGAGUAUACUGCCCUUGUCUGUGGGAUAACUUCUCGAGACUUGGGGUUUUAGCACAUAGGAGCUCUUGACACAUGUUGGGGGUUGGAAAGGUUCGGCGGUUAGGGCUGGACUCGCUGCUUAUUAGCUUGUUGGUGGGGUAGUGUCUUACCAGGGCAUUGACGGGUAGCCGGCCUGAGAGGGUGACCGGCCACAUUGGGACUGAGAGACGGCCCAGACUCCUACGGGAGGCAGCAGUGGGGAAUAUUGCACAAUGGACGGAAGCCUGAUGCAGCAACUCCGCGUGCGGGAUGACGGCCUUCGGGGUGUAGACCGCUUUCGCCUGUGACGAAGCGUGAGUGACGGUAAUGGGUAAAGAAGCACCGGCUAACUACGUG